rnacentral:sRNA from 1 species
AACUUUCCUCAUGUUCAUUAUUUUUUCAGACAUUCAGAUUUUCCCAAUUCAACAUUGACACACCAAAGCUUCAUUCUUUAAUGAAAUGAGAAGGUAUGCGAAUGAUGUUAUGCGUCGUUAUGGUCUUUUAAUAUUGAAUUCUGUUAUUGUUUAUACAUAUACUUUUCAUGCUUAUAGCAUAUUUCAUUAUUCAUUAUACAAAGUAAUAUUUACAUUAAUUAUGAAAGUAUAUUGAAUUUACAAUACUUUACAUAGUUAUAAUGAAUUUUGAUUUAUCCGGUGUUGUCAAAUGUCGAUAUAAUAUCUUAUUGUUUAAAGAAAAGGAGAAUAUCUUUCACCAUCGUGAAUAAAGGGAUUAUAGACAUCUGAAUUAGAAGAUUUGUACUUUGACAGAGGUGCUUUAUUGUUACUAGUAUAAAUAUAUAUGUGUUUCUUGUUGGUAAUUAUGAAGUAUGCCAGUAAAAUAGCAUUUAUGGAUAUAGUUCUUUAUAUUAAGUUAUGGUGUGAUUCUUACAGAAAGAGGAGACAAAUCUUGAGGAUUGGUUUGAACAUAUCUUAUUGUAUAUAUGAUAUACAAAGGGUACGAACACAAGUUCUUGCAACUUACUAGGUUCUCACCCUAAUAAAAUCUUGAGAAUUGGCAUAGAUUUGAAGGAUUUUCCAAAAGUUGCGAAAAAAAUGAUUAAUGCCUAUAAUUAUAUUGUUAUUUCUGAAGUUUUUAAAAAAAUAUUCUGCGGGUAUAUAUUUCUUAAUAUAGAAUUGAUGUUUUCAUUCUUUGUAUUUACAUGUAUGCAAAAUAAACAUAUGGAAAAAG